UGCAGUCGAACGGAUCCUUCGGGAUUAGUGGCGGACGGGUGAGUAACACGUGGGAACGUGCCCUUUGGUUCGGAACAACUCAGGGAAACUUGAGCUAAUACCGGAUGUGCCCUUCGGGGGAAAGAUUUAUCGCCAUUGGAGCGGCCCGCGUCUGAUUAGCUAGUUGGUGAGGUAAAGGCUCACCAAGGCGACGAUCAGUAGCUGGUCUGAGAGGAUGAUCAGCCACAUUGGGACUGAGACACGGCCCAAACUCCUACGGGAGGCAGCAGUGGGGAAUCUUGCGCAAUGGGCGAAAGCCUGACGCAGCCAUGCCGCGUGAAUGAUGAAGGUCUUAGGAUUGUAAAAUUCUUUCACCGGGGACGAUAAUGACGGUACCCGGAGAAGAAGCCCCGGCUAACUUCGUGCCAGCAGCCGCGGUAAUACGAAGGGGGCUAGCGUUGCUCGGAAUUACUGGGCGUAAAGGGAGCGUAGGCGGACUGUUUAGUCAGAGGUGAAAGCCCAGGGCUCAACCUUGGAAUUGCCUUUGAUACUGGCAGUCUUGAGUACGGAAGAGGUAUGUGGAACUCCGAGUGUAGAGGUGAAAUUCGUAGAUAUUCGGAAGAACACCAGUGGCGAAGGCGACAUACUGGUCCGUUACUGACGCUGAGGCUCGAAAGCGUGGGGAGCAAACAGGAUUAGAUACCCUGGUAGUCCACGCCGUAAACGAUGAGUGCUAGUUGUCGGCAUGCAUGCAUGUCGGUGACGCAGCUAACGCAUUAAGCACUCCGCCUGGGGAGUACGGUCGCAAGAUUAAAACUCAAAGGAAUUGACGGGGGCCCGC
rnacentral:rRNA from 1 species